AACGAACGCUGGCGGCAGGCUUAACACAUGCAAGUCGAACGGGUGUAGCAAUACAUCAGUGGCAGACGGGUGAGUAACACGUGGGCACCUUCAUAGGGGUACGGAACAACUAAGGGACACUUGAGCUAAUACCGUAUACUUCCGAUAGGUGCAAAAUUUCUGGCCAUUAGACGGGCCAGCGUCGGAUUAGCAAGGUGGUGGGGUAACGGUCUACCAAGGCGACGCUCGGUAGCUGAUCUUAGAGGAUGGUCAGCCACACUGGGACUGAGACACGGCGCAGACUCCUACGGGAGGCAGCAGAGGGGAAUCUUGGACAAUGGGGGCAAGCCUGAUCCAGCCAUGCCGCGUGAGUGAAGAAGGCCUUAGGGUUGUAAAGCUCUUUUGCCAGGGACUAUAAUGACGGUACCUGGAGAAUAAGCCCCGGCAAACUUCGUGCCAGCAGCCGCAGUAACAC
rnacentral:rRNA from 1 species